GAGAAGAGAGAAGAGUCAUCCCAGGAGGAGAAAUGAGGAGGAGGAGGAGCUUCCUUGAUGUGCUGAUGAGCCCUAAGUAUCUCAAAGCUCAGUUUGUUAACAUGACUUGAAAUGAAGGAAAACUCCCCCCAGGUCUGCCCAGGAGAGUUUCCACCAGCCCAGAAGAGAGCGGCUUUUGCGGAUGUUUGCUCCCAUUCAAAAGUGGGACCAGUGAACCCAGCAGAAGGAUUCCUCAAGGCAACUAAGUCCCAGCAGGUGUGUGACAACACUGGGAUAACGUGAGUGGGACGCUGAAGGGCCGAUCUUCUCCAGGACAGCAUCUGUGCCCAAUUACCGAGUGGCUUUCCCAGAGAGCCCAAGGGCUGAGGAAGGAGGUGCCUCCUGGCUUUUUCCCAGAGGGAUGGCAUAGAAAGACUUCUCCAUAUCUGGAUUGAAAUUGGACCUUUUCCGUCAUGGGAUUCACAGGGACCUGACCAAAUUUUCUCCCUCCCCUGUUGCUUUUAAUCCUUCAGCCAGGCUGCCCGUAUUUCUACACAAAGCAGAGUCCCAGUGACCUCCAGGCCUUCCCGGGGCCAAAGGGGGGGGGCUGCUGGGGGAGGGGGAGCUGCCCCCUGGAUCUGACCCCUCCCCUCUUGUCCCCAGGCAGGAGGAUCGUGUUGGGGAGGAAGAGUGCUGGGACUGGCACAAGGGGGGAGGGAACCCCUUUCUUCCUGGCCCUCCAGCUGUGGAAAUUCCCCCCCCCCAAAGUGGGCAUU